rnacentral:rRNA from 1 species
CGAGUAACGCGUAAGCAACCUGCCCCGGAAGCGGGGGGAUAAGCCGGAGAAAUCCGGGGUAAUACCGCAUAGCUUGGAGGGGGACAUCCCCGUUCAAGAAAGGAGAGCCAUUCGAGAGGAUGCUCUUCACUUUCGGAGGGGCUUGCGGCCUGUCAGCUAGUUGGGGGGGUGACGGCCUCCCAAGGCGACGACGGGUAGCUGGUCUGAGAGGACGGCCAGCCGGACUGGGACUGAGACACGGCCCAG